GGCUUCGUGGUAGAGUGGUAAUGAUACUUGCCUCUCACUCUCGAGUCCCGGGUUCGAUCCCCGAUCGAGGAGCUA
rnacentral:tRNA from 1 species